CUAAGCCAUGCGAGUCUUUGCAGUAAUGCAAGGCAUACGGCUCAGUAACACGUAGUCAACCUACCCUAUGGACGAGAAUAAUCUCGGGAAACUGAGUAUAAUGCCCGAUAGAACAUUAUGCCUGGAAUGGUUUAUGUUCCAAAUGAUUUAUCGCCGUAGGAUGGGACUGCGGCCUAUCAGUUUGUUGGUGAGGUAAUGGCCCACCAAGACUAUUACAGGUACGGGCUCUGAGAGGAGUAGCCCGGAGAUGGGUACUGAGACACGGACCCAGGCCCUAUGGGGCGCAGCAGGCGAGAAAACUUUGCAAUGUGCGAAAGCACGACAAGGUUAAUCCGAGUGGUUUCUGCUAAAGGAACCUUUUGUUAGUCCUAAAAACACUAACGAAUAAGGGGUGGGCAAGUUCUGGUGUCAGCCGCCGCGGUAAAACCAGCACCUCAGGUGGUCAGGAUGAUUAUUGGGCCUAAAGCAUCCGUAGCCUGCUCUGUAAGUUUUCGGUUAAAUCUGUAUGCUCAACAUACAGGCCGCCGGGAAUACUGCAGGGCUAGGGAGUGGGAGAGGUAGACGGUACUCGGGAGGAAGUGGUAAAAUGCUUUGAUCUUUCGAUGACCACCUGUGGCGAAGGCGGUCUACCAGAACACGUCCGACGGUGAGGGAUGAAAGCUGGGGGAGCAAACCGGAUUAGAUACCCGGGUAGUCCCAGCCGUAAACUAUGCAAACUCAGUGAUGCAUUGGCUUGUGGCCAAUGCAGUGUUGCAGGGAAGCCGUUAAGUUUGCCGCCUGGGAAGUACGUACGCAAGUAUGAAACUUAAAGGAAUUGGCGGGG
rnacentral:rRNA from 1 species